rnacentral:piRNA from 1 species
UGCUGCUAGAUGUGUCCAUCAAGAUGGAGAA